CUGAAAAUGGCUGCUUAUAUGUUGGGAUGUGAACAUUAUACACACAGCUGUUUACAAAAAAGACCAAAAGCAAUAUCACUGUGAACAGUGUGGAAUUUGCAGAGCAUAUAGAUGUCCUCUGUGUAUGCAUUCAGCUUGGGACAUGGCAAACUGCUGGGAGAAACUGGACAAAGAAAUAUUCCAGACUCCGAUGCCAACUGAAUAUCAAAAUGUAACUGUAAAGAUUCUGUGUAAUGACUGCCAGACCUAUUGCACUGUACAGUUCCAUGUGCUGGGAAUGAAGUGCAGUGGUUCUGGGUCCUAUAAUACAGCUCGGGAUGGAGGAUUGAUUAAUCAAGAGCCUCAAGAAUCAUGAAAACAUGUUAUAUUGUAGGUUUUUUCUUUCUUUCCACCAGCAGUCACAUUUUAAAUAAAAUUGUAUUUAUCUAUUCAGAAUUGCUUGCCUUAACAAAAAAUAAAACCGUAUUAAUAAUGUGUUAUAUCAGUAGUAAAAAAAGUGUUCCUGCCAUACUAGAAAUAUUGAUCAUCACUUUGUAUUCAGAAGAAAGGUUCAGCUACCACUUAUGUCUUGUCAUCUUGAUACGUGCAAAUACCUGGCAACACGUUUUUAAUGAAGGUAGCAUUAUUUAGUUCUUUAAAACAGGCUUUUGAGUAUCAGAAUCUACAGAUUUACUUAGGUGUUUAUCCAGAUGUCACACUUACAUUUUUAGCUAUAUCUAGACUUGCUUAUGGUUGCAGGGGUGGUAAUCCAAAGUGCAUAGUAGUUUGAGACUCUCCAUGCUUCACAGUGAGUUAAAUUACACCCAUGAGCGUGUUACCUGUAACCAAGAACCUAACUAUAUGUAUAGUAAUCUGGAAUUUAUCUGUUAUUCAAUGGAACUCUUAUUUCCAACCCAGUACUUGUGCCUCCCCAUGUAUUGCCAUUUCUAAUGAUAUAUCAUCCAUAACUAUUCAAUACUCAACAGUGCUGAAUUUAGAAGUACUAAAUUUAAACUUAAAUUCAAUGGCAAAUGUUUUGACUAGAAGAUAAGAUGCUGAAAAAGACUUCUGGGGGAAGCAUGAAUCAUUUCUAAUGAUAAACUAAUCUCUACAUAAAGAGGAUAUAUUUAUUUUAAUGAGACUGAUAGCUCUGUGUUGAGUAUGGUACAGACAUACUUGCUGGCUUCUACUGAAAGGCUUUCAUAUUCAUAAUUUAUGAUUUUGCCAUUGUUUAAUUUGACUUGUAGCAUCUCACACAUACAUGUAAAUGUAUCAGUUUCCCCCUAAUUAAUGCAAUUUUUUGUAUUAUGUGUUAUUCAGACAUGACUUUAUUUUGAUGAAUCAAUAUGGGUCAGAAUAAUGGACAAAAAUUCAAAGAGCUUAAUAAUAGGAGCAUGCUAUACACCUCCAGAU